GAGGGAAGAGCUGGGAGGUGGGAAGUGGGGGAGGGGCCCCAGACCAGGCUCAGAGCAUAUCCUUGCUCCUGGCCUCCACCGCAGAAGGUGGCUCACCCCUCUGCAUGGAACAGUCUCUCUCCAUUCCCUCUACCCUGGCCUUCCUCCUCCUUGCAGGCCCCAGAAGCUGGAGGGGGCUGGUCGGGGUUGGGCUCACAGACACAGUGGUGGAGCUCACAGAAGUGCCCCCACCCACCAGGAGCCCAGGGUGGGCCUCAGCCAGCCGGGGGUAAUGAGGCAUGGGAUGGACUCUGCGGGCACCAGGCCUGACCCUGAGUGCACCCAGGCGAGGGCGGGGGACACUCAGAUCUGCCCCUCUCUGCAGGAACCUGGUUUCCCCACCCUGGAGGCCAGCGCCAAAGGACGUUCACGUGCAGCUCAACCACACAAUAUAAGAGCUACUGUCUCCAAUUAACACUUGGGGACACUGAGGCAAAGAGCCUGGCUGAAUAUUGUGCCCGUGAAGACAGAGGGACAGCCUAUUUUGUUUGCUGCUGUAUCCUUAGCACCCAGCACAGGGAAGGGGUCCUGGUACAUUUCUAGAAAAAAUGGAGGGGAGCAGAGUCCCCCUGAGCACCUGGGGUUUGAUGCCUCCCUGCCCAGAGCCCUUGCUAUAGCAUAUGCUGGUGAGGGCCGAGGCUCUAGCUCACACUCCAGACCGGGGUAGGGAUCCAAUCUGGCUUUGAAGACAUCAUGCAGAGCCUCUGCUCUGGAGAUGGGAACCUGCAGACAAAUGCCUCCUUAUCUCAAUCCUCUGAAAACAGUUUGACCAGGGAGACAGCGUUCACUCAUGAAUUUAAGAAAAAAAAAAUCCCUGAUCCCUACUUUUUGCCAACUUCAAUGCUGAUUUCUAGUGGUACCAAGAAAAAUGCAACUGAGCCUCCAUCCUCAAGGGGCUCACAGUCUUGUGUGGAGAUAAAAAAUGCAGGCCUGCUGCAGAUCCAAGUCCUGUGACCGGGGUCCUGCCCAAGGGUCCUGCUUCCCUAGGCAUCCCAGAAGUUCAGCCUGCAUCUCGACCAGAGCCUGAGAGUAGACACCUGCCGGUUUAUCUGUCCCUUCAUGUAGCAGGUGACAGAGGUGCCAGGGGCAUGGCAGGGGUACUCUGACACAGCACUGCCCCACGGAGCCCAUGUCCCAGGGCAGAAGACCCACGAUGCACAGCCAGCCAGGUGGCCUCAUCCGAUCAGUCAAAGGCCUCAAUAGAACCAAGACUGACCUCUGCCAAAGAGAGAAUUCUUUCAGCAGACGGCCUUCGGACUUGAGCUAUGACGGCAACUCUUCCCCGGGCCCACCUGACGGACUGGGUUUCUCAGCCUCCACAGUCGUGUGAGCCAAUUCCGGCAGUCAGGGAAAGCCUCCUGGAGACUUGGGCAAGAGACCCAAAGGAAGUGAAGGGGCGGGCAAGAUGGGAGAAGAGCAUCUGGAACAGCAUGUGCAGAGACCCAGGGCCAGGGCUGUCACUGGCAUGUUCCGGGGCUGCACUGGAAUGAAGUUCAAGCAACAGGCCGGUCACGGUGGCUCAUGCCUGUAUUUCCACCACUUUGGGAAGCCAAGAAGGGCGGAUCACUUGA
rnacentral:lncRNA from 1 species